GCACAUAUAGAUUUGCUUCGCAGGAGAGAUAGCGCCAUCACAUUUUCUAAGAGUUUAGCUGAUGACGGUAUCUCUCCUACGUAGCUAUCCUUAUAUGUGC
rnacentral:pre_miRNA from 1 species